CACACUAACACACACACCUUGAUCUCUCUCAUUCGGCACCAGACGAAUUCCGGCGAUCGGCGACGGCGACGGCGCCUCCAUAAGCGGCGGCCGUGGAGUUUUCCGGCGGCCCUUUCUUCUCCGACGAGCACAGCAGCCCCCUUUCUUUUGUGAUCCAGAAAACAAUCACCACCGCCACCACAGUCCGGUGGUGGUGCGGCGACGGUGACGAGCAGGGGGAGACGGGAGAGAAAGAACGAAGAGGAGAGAGAGAGAAUCGGUGAUGGUGAGCGACGGUCACGUCUCGAACCGGUGGUCUACGUCUCGGACUGGCGGUCCUUGUCUCGGAUCGGUGAUCCUUGCUUCGGUCCGUCGGGUCUCGUCGCUGGAUAACGGGUCGACUCGGGUCAGACGAGUUAACCCGGGUCAGACGAGUCAACUCAGCGCAGUCAAGACUUCUGGUUUUCAAGUGAGCUUCAGGUUGAUUUUGGUUCAGAAUUGUUACAGCUGGUUCGAGUUGUGGGUCUCGGCUCAGAUCGGGUUCGGUUCGGGCGGAUUAGUCAACUUCUGAAAUGGUUCAGGUUGACUCGGUCAACUCAGCAAGUUGACUCAGUCAACUAAGCAAGUCAAAACAAGUCAACUGGUCAAGUGCGGUCAACAGCUUCGGUCAAGACGGCUCGGUUCGGUCAAAUGGCUCGGUUCCGACAGACAACUAGGUUCAGUUGACUCGGUCAAACCGAGUCAACUCGGUCAAACCUGGUCAACUCAGUUGACUCGGUCAACAUCCCGACGCGAAGACUUUGUAAAAAUUAAUUGCGCGUUUAUUUCGUUAUUUCUAUAAUUUUAGUUACGUGAUAAACGAGCUCUCGAACCGAAUAAUAAAAAUCGUUAAUUAUAAAGUUUGCGGCUUCGUGUA